GGGUAUAGCUUAGUGGUAGAGCAUGUGCUUAGCGUGCACGAGGUCCUGGGUUCAAUCCCCAGUGCCUCCA
rnacentral:tRNA from 1 species